rnacentral:rRNA from 1 species
GAUGAACGCUAGCGGCAGGCUUAACACAUGCAAGUCGAGGGGUAACAGGGAAGAGCUUGCUUUUCCGCUGACGACCGGCGCACGGGUGCGUAACGCGUAUAGAACCUACCUUUUACUGAGGAAUAGCCUUUAGAAAUGAAGAUUAAUACCUCAUAGUAUUGAAACUUGGCAUCGAGAUUUAAUUAAAGAUUUAUUGGUAAAAGAUGGCUAUGCGUCCUAUUAGCUAGAUGGUAAGGUAACGGCUUACCAUGGCAACGAUAGGUAGGGGUCCUGAGAGGGAGAUCCCCCACACUGGUACUGAGACACGGACCAG